CUGGCGGCACGCCUAACACAUGCAAGUCGAACGAAGUAGCAAUACUUAGUGGCAGACGGGUGAGUAACAUGUGGGUAUCUGCCCUUUGGCCUGGAAUAACACGAGGAAACUUGUGCUAAUACCGGAUAAGUCUUUACGGAGAAAGCUUUAUGCACCAUUGGAUGAGCCCGCACUUGAUUAGUUUGUUGGUGGGGUAAUGGCCUACCAAGACUGUGAUCAAUAGCUGAUUUGAGAGGAUGAUCAGCCACAUUGGGACUGAGACACGGCCCAAACUCCUACGGGAGGCAGCAGUGGGGAAUCUUGCACAAUGGAGGAAACUCUGAUGCAGCGAUGCCGCGUGAGUGAAGAAGGCCCUUGGGUUGUAAAGCUCUUUCGUCGGGGAAGAAAAUGACUGUACCCGAAUAAGAAGGUCCGGCUAACUUCGUGCCAGCAGCCGCGGUAAUACGAAGGGACCUAGCGUAGUUCGGAAUUACUGGGCUUAAAGAGUUCGUAGGUGGUUGAAAAAGUUGGUGGUGAAAUCCCAGAGCUUAACUCUGGAACUGCCAUCAAAACUUUUCAGCUAGAGUAUGAUAGAGGAAAGCAGAAUUUCUAGUGUAGAGGUGAAAUUCGUAGAUAUUAGAAAGAAUACCAAUUGCGAAGGCAGCUUUCUGGAUCAUUACUGACACUGAGGAACGAAAGCAUGGGUAGCGAAGAGGAUUAGAUACCCUCGUAGUCCAUGCCGUAAACGAUGUGUGUUAGACGUUGGAAAUUUAUUUUCAGUGUCGCAGCGAAAGCGAUAAACACACCGCCUGGGGAGUACGAC
rnacentral:rRNA from 1 species